rnacentral:lncRNA from 1 species
CACCCAUGGGUGGAACCAUCCCUGCAUCCCUGCCCUGUGAUGUUAACACCCAAACACUUGCACCCCACAGGUGCCCAGGGGCGGUCCCAUGGGAACCUGGUGGUGGCGGUGGUGAGGGGCUGUGCUGCUGUCUUGGUCUUCAGCCUGGGCCUCUACUUCGUCCUCGAUGCCCGCAGCCUCUGGACAAGGAGAGAUAAGAGCCCUGAUCUUUAAGGACCACCAAGUAUUCCAUCGAGACCACGUAUCCUUCAUCUUUCAACUUCCUCUUUUUGAUGCAGUUGUCACCCCUGAAAUGCUUAAGUCAAUGUCAAUCAAGGUAAGUGUCUGUGUCAGUGGACCCCAAAUCCCCGUUCACCCCUUGGGGCACACAGAGAACAUCACUAUGGAGAUCCACACCCUUCCCAUGAGGCCCACAGAUGAACCCCAGCCUCAUAUGGCUUACUCUGACAUUUAUGUGCCCCACCUGUAUCCAGCUCAUGGGAAAUCCAAAUCUGCAUUGAGGAGAACCCUCAGCCCACAAUCCUAAGUCUCCAGACCCACACAAGCCCUCCAAGCCUUAAUCCCUCCCAGAACAUACAGGCACAUACAACUUGAGAAGAGCGGCCCUAAAUGCACCCACACGGAAUCCAAAUGACCCAUGGGGAACACACACACACAAAAAAGCCCCUCUAUUCCCCCAGUCCCUAGGUACCCCAAGACCAUAGCUGGACCCCAAAUAUCCCCCUUGCAGACCCCCCCGGUACCCCGCAGAACUCCAGACUCACCCUCAUGGUCACAUCCCCCUCAUACCUUCACCAGAGGCCAACCCUCAGCCCACCCAUCUUGGGGACCCCCAUGGUAGCACCCCACUCUCCUCCUGUAUCUCCAGGUGCCCCCCAGGGACAGCGAGGAUGUGACUUACGUCGAGAUGCCAGCUGCCAUCCCGAGCUCCCAGCCUCCCAGUUCCCCCACCGCCAACCAACCCCCCGUUAUCUACACCACAGUGAGCACUGAAUUACCGUGCUGAUGGGCCUCCCAGGUGCCUCAUUUUUGGGGUGUGUGGAAGGGGACAGACCUCAAGUUCCCUGCUUGGGACUCCCUGAUGUCCUGUUCUUAUCUCAGACCA